AUUGAACGCGGGCGGCAGGCCUAACACAUGCAAGUCGAGCGGUAACACAGGGAGCUUGCUCUCGGGUGACGAGCGGCGGACGGGUGAGUAAUGUCUGGGAAACUGCCUGAUGGAGGGGGAUAACUACUGGAAACGGUAGCUAAUACCGCAUAACGUCGCAAGACCAAAGAGGGGGACCUUCGGGCCUCUUGCCAUCAGAUGUGCCCAGAUGGGAUUAGCUAGUAGGUGGGGUAACGGCUCACCUAGGCGACGAUCCCUAGCUGGUCUGAGAGGAUGACCAGCCACACUGGAACGGAGCGACGGUCCAGACUCCUACGGGAGGCAGCAGUGGGGAAUAUUGCACAAUGGGCGCAAGCCUGAUGCAGCCAUGCCGCGUGUAUGAAGAAGGCCUUCGGGUUGUAAAGUACUUUCAGCGGGGAGGAAGGCGAUAAGGUUAAUAACCUUGUCGAUUGACGUUACCCGCAGAAGAAGCACCGGCUAACUCCGUGCCAGCAGCCGCGGUAAGAC
rnacentral:rRNA from 1 species